GCAUUGGCAGUUCAAUGGUAGAAUUCUUGCCUGCCAUGCAGAAGACCUGGGCUCAGCUCUCAGCUAAUACA
rnacentral:tRNA from 1 species